rnacentral:ncRNA from 2 species
AGUAACCUUCAGGGUUAGGUGAAAUUCCUUACCGGCGGUAUGGCCUUGGGCCGAGCCCGCGAGCCCGCAAGGGCAGGAUCUGGUGAGAUGCCAGAGCCGACAGUUAAAGUCUGGAUGGGAGAAGGUUGUC